UCGGGGAACGAUACGGCGUCGAGCGGCGGACGGGUGAGUAAUGCCUAGGAAAUUGCCCUGAUGUGGGGGAUAACCAUUGGAAACGAUGGCUAAUACCGCAUAAUACCUUCGGGUCAAAGAGGGGGACCUUCGGGCCUCUCGCGUCAGGAUAUGCCUAGGUGGGAUUAGCUAGUUGGUGAGGUAAUGGCUCACCAAGGCGACGAUCCCUAGCUGGUCUGAGAGGAUGAUCAGCCACACUGGAACUGAGACACGGUCCAGACUCCUACGGGAGGCAGCAGUGGGGAAUAUUGCACAAUGGGCGCAAGCCUGAUGCAGCCAUGCCGCGUGUGUGAAGAAGGCCUUCGGGUUGUAAAGCACUUUCAGUCGUGAGGAAGGUAGUGUAGUUAAUAGCUGCAUUAUUUGACGUUAGCGACAGAAGAAGCACCGGCUAACUCCGUGCCAGCAGCCGCGGUAAUACGGAGGGUGCGAGCGUUAAUCGGAAUUACUGGGCGUAAAGCGCAUGCAGGUGGUUUGUUAAGUCAGAUGUGAAAGCCCGGGGCUCAACCUCGGAAUAGCAUUUGAAACUGGCAGACUAGAGUACUGUAGAGGGGGGUAGAAUUUCAGGUGUAGCGGUGAAAUGCGUAGAGAUCUGAAGGAAUACCGGUGGCGAAGGCGGCCCCCUGGACAGAUACUGACACUCAGAUGCGAAAGCGUGGGGAGCAAACAGGAUUAGAUACCCUGGUAGUCCACGCCGUAAACGAUGUCUACUUGGAGGUUGUGGCCUUGAGCCGUGGCUUUCGGAGCUAACGCGUUAAGUAGACCGCCUGGGGAGUACGGUCGCAAGAUUAAAACUCAAAUGAAUUGACGGGGGCCCGCACAAGCCGGUGGAGCCAUGUGGGUUUAAUUCGAUGCAACGCG
rnacentral:rRNA from 1 species